CCUUCGGGGGGCACUCGAGUGGCGCACGGGUGAGUAACGCGUGGGUAAUCUGCCUUCAGGUCUGGGACAGCCCCGGGAAACUGGGGUUAAUACCGGAUGAGACCACGGGCUCCUUGGAGCCUGCGGGAAAAGAUGGCCUCUCCUUGGAAGCUAUCGCCUGUUGAUGAGCCCGCGUCCCAUUAGCUUGUUGGUGAGGUAACGGCUCACCAAGGCUUCGAUGGGUAGCUGGUCUGAGAGGAUGAUCAGCCACACUGGAACUGAGACACGGUCCAGACUCCUACGGGAGGCAGCAGUCGGGAAUUUUGGGCAAUGGGCGAAAGCCUGACCCAGCAACGCCGCGUGAGGGAUGAAGGCCCUCGGGUCGUAAACCUCUGUCGGGAGGGAAGAACGGUUGCCGUUCGAACAGAAUGGCAGCCUGACGGUACCUCCAAAGGAAGCACCGGCUAACUCCGUGCCAGCAGCCGCGGUAA
rnacentral:rRNA from 1 species